rnacentral:rRNA from 1 species
AUUGAACGCUGGCGGCAUGCCUUACACAUGCAAGUCGAACGGCAGCACGGGUGCUUGCACCUGGUGGCGAGUGGCGAACGGGUGAGUAAUACAUCGGAACGUACCUUAGCGUGGGGGAUAACGCAGCGAAAGCUGUGCUAAUCCCGCAUACGCCCUGAGGGGGAAAGCGGGGGACCGCAAGACCCCGCGCGAUUAGAGCGGCCGAUGCCUGAUUAGCUUGUUUGUGGGGUAAAAGCCCACCAAGGCGACGAUCAGUAGCUGGUCUGAGAGGACGAUCAGCCACACUGGGACUGAGACACGGCCCAGACUCCUACGGGAGGCAGCAGUGGGGAAUUUUGGACAAUGGGGGCAACCCUGAUCCAGCAAUGCCGCGUGAGUGAAGAAGGCCUUCGGGUUGUAAAGCUCUUUUGUCAGGGAAGAAACACCGGCUCUAACACAGUCUGGGAAUGACGGUACCUGAAGAAUAAGCACCGGCUAACUACGUGCCAGCCGCCGCCGUAA